rnacentral:rRNA from 1 species
CUUCGGGAAACCGGAGCUAAUACCGGAUAAUAUUUGAACCGCAUGGUUCAAAAGUGAAAGACGGUCUUGCUGUCACUUAUAGAUGGAUCCGCGCUGCAUUAGCUAGUUGGUAAGGUAACGGCUUACCAAGGCAACGAUGCAUAGCCGACCUGAGAGGGUGAUCGGCCACACUGGAACUGAGACACGGUCCAG